AGGAAGCACCUUUCUUUUCUCCGCCAUGGCCAAAACUUCCAACUCCAUCGAUAUGAUGCCAGUGAGCUCUGAUGCAUUGAAGAUCGCCACCUCCCAACGGAGUCAACGAACAGAGGAAGAAGCUCGUCUUCCUGAAACAACGGCGACGGAGGCCGGCCAUGGAAACUGGUGACGUAGCUUGAGGUGAACGAUUCUCUCCUGAGGUUCUGGGCUUCGUGCAGCUUGCUGUAGAUCAGUGUUGUUAGAGCCAUAUCAGUUCGAGCGUUCAGUGGGAUUUGUAUCUGAAUUACAGGAUGAGUAUGUUUUAAUAACCAGGUGCAUUUCAGCUGUGUGAUUGUUGAGAAAGGGCACAUUAUUGCAGCAGGAAGAAACAGGACUAAUGAGAAACGGAAUGCAACAAGAUGUGCAAAAAUGGAAGCUCUUGAUGUUCUUCUUGAACAGUGGCAGAGGACUGAAUUUUUAUCUGCAGAAGUUGCAGAGGAGUAUUCAGCAUGCUCCCUUUAUGUGACAUGUGAACUAUGCAUAAUGUGUGCAGCAGCAUUAUCAAUCAUUGGUACAUCUGUUGAUCAUACUGAAAUAAAACUAAACUUUUGUAAAAUUUGUUUACUCAUAUAUGAUUAGAUGACUCUUAGCCGUUUUAAGGUAUGAAGAAAGUAUGUUAUGACUGUGCAAAUGAAAUGUGGAGGCUGUGGCUCAGUGCUGUUGUUGCAUCAAUUAGCUCCGAGGAAUGAAUUAGGUCAGUUUCUGGACUUGCUUUUGUUGCUGAUUUCAUAUCUGCUUAGCUCCACUUUGAAAUUUUGACAUUUUACAAUUGACAACCAAAGCUUACUGGAGGUUUAUGAAUCUUGUUUUGAUUACUGAUUGAUGUGCAUUUGUAGGGUAAAACAGAGUUCUCUCAUUAAUUAACAUGUAAAUAUGGAGAACGCUAGGGUUGUGUCACAUUGUAAUCUGAUCUGCAAUUAAGCUUUCUUAGUAUUCAUUACUUCCUAAAUUGUAUGAGAUGUUUAUAAGCUAGCAUACAGGUAUGGCUUCGUGGUAUCUUUCUUCACUGCACAUGAUCCAUAAACUACAAUGAUUACCCCUUCAAUGAAGAAGUCUUUACAAAAUAUUCAAAUAGAAUUAUCUUCUGUCCUUUGAAGAGUGGAAAUGAUAAAAGGGGUUUCACUGGAGAGUGAUUUGGCUAAAUUCAUGGCUUUUCCUUUGCAAGAAAUAGGAAGAGAAGCAUGUUAGUUCACAACUUUUUGAAGUACAUGUAGAAGAUACUCACUAGGAGAUGCAACAACCAUGCCUCUGCCUUUGGUUGAUGUUCUCUGAUAUAUGUUUUUACUGUUAAGCAUGUUAAUUCAUGAAGGUAGAUCUCUCUUGACUUUACUUCUGCUUAUAUACUUUACGUAUUUAGCUAUAUGUCGAAAUCACACCCUUUAGUAAUGAGGCAUGGGCAAAUGCUGCUUGAGAGUUUCGCUUAAUAUCUCCCAUGAAAGUUCUCUGAACCAGACACGAGCAACUACUUCCGUUUGGGAAAGUUACGGGUGAAAGAAUGACUUAAAAUUGGUGUGAGAGGUUGAUGUUUUUGUAGUUGCUUGCAGCAUCGGGAGGAGCUGGCUUUGGCAGAGAGAACGCAGGAUCUUUGUUACACGGAGCACAAGAACACUGUCAUCCAAACUGGUAUAGUGCCAUUGCCUCCGCUCGUUAAUGCCAUGAGGCCAUGACGUGUCGUUGCCAUCUGCCGCACUAGAGCUUGUGAUUAUCUCUUUCACUAUCCCCGACCUUCGCUUGAGGUUGUCACCUCGAGUUCGAUGUCUCCGCCUCAGCUAGCCCCAGAGAGAGAUGGCAAUGGAGGUGGUGGUCGCCUGGGCAGUUGAUGGUGGUGGAGAUGUAAUACGUUCUUGGUUGGUGGCGGUGGUCACGUUGGCUCAUGGAUGUGGAGUGUGGUAUUGCUUGUUGUUGCAGUUGUGGUGGACAGUGUUGGCAAUAGUGGUGGGCAGAGAGGGAGAGGCCCGAUUCCACGUUGGUGAAAUUGCCACUUGAUAAUAAUUUUCCAUGUAAGCCUCACGUCAACAUAUUUUAUGGUUGUUUAACGGUUGUAAAUGGUACAUCAACAAUUUCAGUCAAGUACUAAACGGAAGCUGACAUUGAGCAUAACUUGAAAA